rnacentral:rRNA from 1 species
GAUGAACGCUGGCGGCGUGCUUAACACAUGCAAGUCGAACGGAGUUUACAUGAAACCUAGUGAUUGUAAACUUAGUGGCGGACGGGUGAGUAACGCGUGGGUAACCUGCCUUAUACCGGGGGACAACAGUUAGAAAUGACUGCUAAUACCGCAUAAGCGCACGGAAUCGCAUGAUUCAGUGUGAAAAACUCCGGUGGUAUAAGAUGGACCCGCGUCUGAUUAGCCAGUUGGUGAGGUAACGGCCCACCAAAGCAACGAUCAGUAGCCGGCCUGAGAGGGUGAACGGCCACAUUGGGACUGAGACACGGCCCAAACUCCUACGGGAGGCAGCAGUGGGGAAUAUUGGACAAUGGGGGAAACCCUGAUCCAGCGACGCCGCGUGAGUGAAGAAGUAUUUCGGUAUGUAAAGCUCUAUCAGCAAGGAAGAUAAUGACGGUACUUGACUAAGAAGCCCCGGCUAACUACGUGCCAGCAGCCGCGGUAAUACGUAGGGGGCAAGCGUUAUCCGGAUUUACUGGGUGUAAAGGGAGCGUAGACGGUUUGGCAAGUCUGAUGUGAAAGCCCGGGGCUCAACCGCGGGACUGCAUUGGAAACUGUCAGACUUGAGUGCAGGAGAGGUAAGUGGAAUUCCUAGUGUAGCGGUGAAAUGCGUAGAUAUUAGGAGGAACACCGGUGGCGAAGGCGGCUUACUGGACUGUAACUGACGUUGAGGCUCGAAAGCGUGGGGAGCAAACA